rnacentral:rRNA from 1 species
GGGCGUAAAGGGAGCGCNGGCGGUCAGGAAAGUCUGGAGUAAAAGGCUAUGGCUCAACCAUAGUGUGCUCUGGAAACUGUCUGACUUGAGUGCAGAAGGGGAGAGUGGAAUUCCAUGUGUAGCGGUGAAAUGCGUAGAUAUAUGGAGGAACACCAGUGGCGAAAGCGGCUCUCUGGUCUGUCACUGACGCUGAGGCUCGAAAGCGUGGGUAGCGAACAGGAUUAGAUACCCUGGUAGUCCACGCCGUAAACGAUGAGUGCUAGGUGUUAGGCCCNUUCCGGGGCUUAGUGCCGGAGCUAACGCAAUAAGCACUCCGCCUGGGGAGUACGACCGCAAGGUUGAAACUCAAAGGAAUUGACGGGGGCCCGCACAAGCGGUGGAGCAUGUGGUUUAAUUCGAAGCAACGCGAAGAACCUUACCAGGUCUUGACAUCCCGAUGCUAUUCUUAGAGAUAGGAAGUUACUUCGGUACAUCGGAGACAGGUGGUGCAUGGUUGUCGUCAGCUCGUGUCGUGAGAUGUUGGGUUGAGUCCCGCAACGAGCGCAACCCUUAUUGUUAGUUGCCAUCAUUAAGUUGGGCACUCUAGCGAGACUGCCGGUAAUAAACCGGAGGAAGGUGGGGAUGACGUCAAAUCAUCAUGCCCCUUAUGACCUGGGCUACACACGUGCUACAAUGGUCGGUACAACGAGUUGCGAGCCGGUGACGGCAAGCUAAUCUCUGAAAGCCGAUCUCAGUUCGGAUUGGAGGCUGCAACUCGCCUCCAUGAAGUCGGAAUCGCUAGUAAUCGCGGAUCAGCACGCCGCGGUGAAUACGUUCCCGGGCCUUGUACACACCGCCCGUCACACCACGAGAGUUUGUAACACCCGAAGUCGGUGAGGUANCCUUUUAGGG